rnacentral:rRNA from 1 species
GAUGAACGCUGACAGAAUGCUUAACACAUGCAAGUCUUUGGCGAAGCUGUGCUUGCACAGCCUAGCCAAGGCGGACGGGUGAGUAACGCGUAAGGAACUUGCCCUGCAGUCAGGGAUAACAGACGGAAACGACUGAUAAGACCUGGUAAAGUCAGGCGGACUCAUGUCCAGCCUGAUGAAAAGAGAUGCUGCAGGAGAGCCUUGCGUCCUAUUAGCUUGUUGGUGGGGUAACGGCCCACCAAGGCGAUGAUAGGUAGCCGGCCUGAGAGGGUGGACGGCCACAAGGGGACUGAGAUACGGCCCUUACUCCUACGGGAGGCGGCAGUGGGGAAUAUUGGACAAUGGGGGCAACCCUGAUCCAGCAAUUCUGUGUGCACGAUGAAGGUUUUCGGAUUGUAAAGUGCUUUCAGCGGGGAAGAAAAAAAUGACGGUACCUGCAGAAGAAGCGACGGCUAAAUACGUG